rnacentral:rRNA from 1 species
GAGUUUGAUCCUGGCUCAGGACGAACGCUGGCGGCGUGCUUAACACAUGCAAGUCGAGCGGUAAGGCCCUUCGGGGUACACGAGCGGCGAACGGGUGAGUAACACGUGGGUGAUCUGCCCUGCACUUCGGGAUAAGCCUGGGAAACUGGGUCUAAUACCGGAUAGGACCUCUUGCCGCAUGGUGGGGGGUGGAAAGGUUUACUGGUGCAGGAUGGGCCCGCGGCCUAUCAGCUUGUUGGUGGGGUAAUGGCCUACCAAGGCGACGACGGGUAGCCGACCUGAGAGGGUGACCGGCCACACUGGGACUGAGACACGGCCCAGACUCCUACGGGAGGCAGCAGUGGGGAAUAUUGCACAAUGGGCGAAAGCCUGAUGCAGCGACGCCGCGUGAGGGAUGACGGCCUUCGGGUUGUAAACCUCUUUCAGCGCCGACGAAGCGUAAGUGACGGUAGGCGCAGAAGAAGCACCGGCCAACUACGUGCCAGCAGCCGCGGUAAUACGUAGGGUGCAAGCGUUGUCCGGAAUUACUGGGCGUAAAGAGCUCGUAGGCGGUUUGUCGCGUCGUCUGUGAAAACUCGUAGCUCAACUACGGGCGUGCAGGCGAUACGGGCAGACUCGAGUACUGCAGGGGAGACUGGAAUUCCUGGUGUAGCGGUGAAAUGCGCAGAUAUCAGGAGGAACACCGGUGGCGAAGGCGGGUCUCUGGGCAGUAACUGACGCUGAGGAGCGAAAGCGUGGGUAGCGAACAGGAUUAGAUACCCUGGUAGUCCACGCCGUAAACGGUGGGCGCUAGGUGUGGGUUUCCUUCCACGGGAUCCGUGCCGUAGCUAACGCAUUAAGCGCCCCGCCUGGGGAGUACGGCGCAAGGCUAAAACUCAAAGGAAUUGACGGGGCCCGCACAAGCGGCGGGCAUGUGGAUUAAUUCGAUGCACGCGAAGACCUUACCUGGGUUUGACAUAUACCGGAAAGCUGCAGAGAUGUGGCCCCCCUUGUGGUCGGUAUACAGGUGGUGCAUGGCUGUSGUCAGCUCGUGUCGUGAGAUGUUGGGUURAGUCSCGCAACGAGCGCAACCCUUGUCUUAUGUUGCCAGCACGUAAUGGUGGGGACUCGUAAGAGACUGCCGGGGUCAACUCGGAGGAAGGUGGGGACGASGUCAAGUCAUCAUGCCCCUUAUGUCCAGGGCUUCACACAUGCUACAAUGGCCGGUACAGAGGGCUGCGAUGCCGUGAGGUGGAGCGAAUCCCUUAAAGCCGGUCUCAGUUCGGAUCGGGGUCUGCAACUCGACCCCGUGAAGUSGGAGUCGCUAGUAAUCGCAGAUCAGCAACGCUGCGGUGAAUACGUUCCCGGGCCUUGUACACACCGCCCGUCACGUCAUGAAAGUCGGUAACACCCGAAGCCGGUGGCCUAACCCCUUGUGGGAGGGAGCCGUCGAAGGUGGGAUCGGCGAUUGGGACGAAGUCGUAACAAGGUAGCCGUA